CCUCUUGCCUUCCACCUGCUGCUAUAUGAGGACACAGCAGCAAGGUGCCAUCUUGGAAGCAGAGAACAGCCCUCGCCAGACACCAAAAUUGGUGGCUUCAGAACCGUAAGAAGAAUGGUCACACUGUUUUCCAAAGUGACUGCACCAUUUCAUAUUUCUACCAGCAACAUCAUCAUCUUCCUUUUACAGAUGAAGAAACUCAUAUCAUGGAAAAGCAUGGAUGAAAUCCUCUGACCACCCUACAUUUAAAGGACCUUUAAAGAGAAAGAACUGACAGUGUAAGUGGAAAAAGAGCAACUGGAAGUAGCAGGAGAAGGAAAAACCAUUAUCAUACAACUGGUGGGAAGAAGGAAUGUCAAAAACAUCAGUGUGAAAAUAAUUGCAGUAAAACGGUAAAUCCCAGUAA
rnacentral:lncRNA from 1 species